AACGUGUUCGGUGAACUAAAAACAUAUAAAACACCCAAAACAACACUGUGAUCAUUAAUAAAAAAAAAAAACUAAAUUAAAUAAUGAGAAUGUAAAAAAAAAGAAAAAAAAAAUUAUGUUAAACAAUAAAUAUUUAAACUUAAAACUUUUUAGUGAUAAAAAAAAUUCACUUUCAUUAAACACAGAAAGUAGUUUACAUAAUAGUAGUUUACAAAAUGUAAAAAAGGAUAAUAAAUAUAAUAGUAAUAUAAAUGAAAAAGAUGAGAGUGGUAAUAAAAAUAGAAAAACAUACUACAAAGAUAGAAAAAUAAUACAUGAAGGUUGGUUAAAUAAAUGGACUAAUAUUAUAGGCAGUUAUAGGCCUCGUUAUUUUGUUCUUGAAAAUGGCAUACUCAGAUACUCAAUUGAUAAAUAUUCUCCAACAAAAGAAAAUUUUAUUUUGUCUCAUUGUACAAUCAGAGUAUGUCCAGAUGACCCAUUACACUUUGAAAUAGAUACAAACGAACAAGGUGUAUUGUACUUAAAAGCUGAUAAUUCGGAUGAAAAACAUAAAUGGUACAUAUCAUUUAAAAAGGCACAAUUUAAUUAUAGACAUGGUUAUUAUAGGAAACAAGAUUAUAUGAAAUUAAAUGGGAUUAGUGAAUGUAAUAACUCGGAAUUUUUAAAAAAUAUAAUAAAAAGUGCAAAUGUUUUUAAUAAAAAUAAAAACAUAGAUGAUAAAUUACCGGAUGACACAAAACUGAGGAACGCUCUUAUGGUUAAUAAUGUGAUAAAGGACACAAGUGAUAAUGAUAAAGGUGAUAAUGAUAGUAAAGGAAAUAAAACCAAUAAUGAAAAUAAAUUCAAUAUUGACAAUAUACAAAAUAUUAAUAAUAAUAAAAUUAAAGGCAUAAAGAACAAAAAAAAUACUAUUACUAGUAAUAAAACUAGUAGUAGUAGUAAAAAUAUAGAUGAAAAUAUGAAUCGUAAAAAUAGUACUAGUGAGAAUAAAAACGUUGUUAAUUACAACUGUAGUAAUAGUAGUCCUAACAAUAAAAUUUUUGCUAGUAAUCGUUCUAGUAUAACUAGUAAUAUUAAUACUAACAAAAACAAUGAUAAUCUAAGUGACAGUAGAGGUACAAACACAUCUAAUAAUAAAAAUGUUAUCAAUGGUAGUUGUAAUAAGAGUAGUAGCAUAUGUGAAGAAAAGGAUAUUAUUAAAAAACAGUAUGAUGAAGAAGUAUACGACCCAUAUUUCAUAAAAAAUGACACAAUAUGUAAUUAUUUUAAAAAAAUAAAUUUAGAAGAAUUAUUUAUUAGUUCAACAUAUUAUGAAGAUAAGAAUCCUACGUUAUGUUUAACAGAGAAUCUGAUGUUUUUAAAAGGAGCAAUUGAAGACAUUAUUAAAUGUUCAGAAUAUAGUGAAAGUAAAAUUGUUUUAGAAAAAAUAAGAAAAACUGGUAGUUCUAUUAAUGAUUCUAAUAAAGUAAGUUUGUUAUUAAAUAAUUUAUGUGAUUCGAUCGAAUAUAUAAACUUAGUUAUAGAUAAAUACAUAAAUAGUACUGAAAUGUUAUUAAAUGAAGAAAAAAUGCAAUCUAAAUAUAAAAACAAGUCAUUAAAACUUUUAGCUAAACAAAAUUAUUUUCUUGAAAAAUCAAAAGAUAAAGACAGUUUAAAAAAUUUAGUUAACAUAAAAGAGAUAGUAAAUAUAGAAAAUUUGAAUGAAUUAAAAAAUCGAAAACAUAUAAGCACUUUAAGUAACAUUACAAACUUAAAUGAAGAAGAAAAAGAUAAAUUAGAN
rnacentral:lncRNA from 1 species